CAGGAGGUGGAGCUUCCUCCCUCAAUCACAUUUCCUGUGUGAAAUGAAGGCUUCCACUGAUCAUUUCUCUGUCACUCCAGCGUUUCUUCAGGUUAAGAAGCAGAAACAUUAUUUAAGUGACACUCUAGAGAUGAAGUGUUCUCCAGGGAUCGUGAUUGUCCUAUUCUUAAUGCUUGGACAAACCCAUGGAAACUCAGUGAACCAGACUGAAGGCCAGGUGACCCUCUCAGAAGAGGCUUCCUUGACUAUGAAUUGUACUUACUCAACGUCAGGGUAUCCUGUCCUUUUCUGGUAUGUCCAGUAUCUGGGGAAUGGUCCACAGCUCCUUCUGAAAGCAUCAGGAGACAAGGAGAAGGGAAGUAACAAAGGGUUUGAAGCCACUUUGGACAGCUCAUCCAAAUCCUUCCACUUGAAGAAAGGCUCACUGCACGUGUCAGACUCAGCUGUGUACUACUGUGUCAUGAGUGACACAGUGACGGGGACUGUAGGGGGAGCUGAGCGCAAACUCUGAGCAGAGCGGGGGCCUGGAUGCUGAGCCUCUCUGACUGAUCCACUCUGGUUCCAGCGCAGUCGGUGGUUGUUAGUCCCUCAGCAUCUGGUUGAUACAAAGUCAUACAAAAGGCUAGAGCCUAGGAACCAAGAUAAUACUCUCCACCUGGCUAGUCAUUGGUGACUUCGACAACAGUUUGAUGACCGUUGUUCCUCAGCCAGGGUGUAAGCAAUUUCAAGAUAAAGCCAGAUAACAAUGAAGUGGUCUUUUGCUCAUCCUUGCAGGGAAAGUCCAGCCCCACAAGUUGUUCAGCCACUCUGGUGUGUUGACACUUUUAGAGUAACUCAGUGUGCCUGAGAAGGUGGCUUCUGCCCAGUGUGCCUAUGACAGAGUAUGUAUGACAGGAGGGGAAUGGGAGAACUUCAGCCCCCAAACCAGGUUUUAGGAGAGAAAGAAGGGAAGGGAAGAAAGGAGGAGAAGCAGUAUACCUGAGCAAGGAAAAGAGCGGCCAGGGACCUCUGCCCUGCUUUCUUCUCUAAUAAGUCAUUUGUCAGACAUGGACUGAUAUUCAAAAUGAAGGCAUUGGGACAGAAAUAUAAUGGAGAAAGUGGCUCAUAUCUAAAUCACAAAUUGUGCCCCUCAUUCCAUCUUGGUAAGUACAUAAAUCAUUAACCUACUAACAAGAAGGCCUUGAGUGAGAUGGUCUUCCAGUGCCAAGGGAAGUUGUGGCGUACAUAUUCCUCUCUGUACCCCUUGAAGCUCUGUUAAAAAGAUGGUAAGGAAUUGUAAAGGGCAUAAACUUACAAAGAGAACAGAAAAAGAUGAUAACAGAGAGUGAUAUUAGAAAAAUUUUAGAGGGUGAGCUGUAUGUUUAUGGAGCAAUAUGGAGCAAUGCAAACUUGCUAAGCAGACCAAAUAUAGAAGUAACGAAGUAGCACAUAGUAGAGAAGUGCCUCAGUGUGUGCUACACCCUCUGGAAAGGGUUAGGAAAAAGUGGCACCAAUUACAUUUUAAUAAUUAUGGUAGAUAGUGUCGUGUGUGUGUGUGUGUGUGUGUGUGUGUUGGAUGUUUGGAAGAUCAUAGGACUGAAUUAGAAAAUAUGUAAGUAAUGGACAACCCAUGCUCUUUACCUGGGCCUAUAUAAUAAGUAGUGACACUUUUCAAAUCCUAUAGAAGAAUGGAAGAUAGUCACUGAACUGAAGAACAGCACAUCAAAAAGUCAGAUAACCCAUCUUUUCAGUGUAUCUGUGUCUUGGGGAUAUGAUGGGGGACCUGCACCCCAAUAUUCAUAACUACAAUGUCCACAGUUGCCAAACUGUGGAAGGAGCUGAGAAGUCC